AGUUUAUUGAAUAUUUAGUAGAUAUUUUCUGCCCAGUGAGUUUAUAUUUUAACGGCCGCGGUAUUUUGACUGUGCAAAGGUAGCAUAAUCAUUUGUUUUUUAAUUGUUGACUGGAAUGAAUGGAGUGACAUAGGAAUAUUUGUCUCUUAUUUUUUUUUUGAAUUUUCUUUAUAAGUGAAGAAGCUUAUAUUUUUAAUAAAGACGAGAAGACCCUAUUGAGUUUUAUUUUUGUUUUAUAAUUUUGUAUUUUAUUUUAUUUUUGUAAAUUUAGUUGGGGCAACUAGGGAGGAAUGUUGUAGUAUUUAUUUUCUUUUAGUAUAUUUUUAUCCAGGAUUUUUGAAUUAAGAAUAAGUUACCAUAGGGAUAACAGCGUAAUUUUUUUGGAGAGUUCUUAUCGAUAAAAUAGUUUGCGACCUCGAUGUUGGACUAAAGUUACCUAGGGGUGUAGAUUUUCCUUUUGGUAGGUCUGUUCGACCUUUAAUUCUUU
rnacentral:rRNA from 1 species